UGUUUUAUUUGCGUGCCAAAGUUGGUAACUGUAAACGAAGAGGCCAUAUUUGCAGAGAGCAGCAAUUUCAAUCUUCACAUGUAGAAGACGAACUUUUGGAAUUGAUUCCCCAACUUUUGAUUCUUCUCCAUUCCGAGUUUGCAGCCUUUCAUUUUCAACGGAUGCUUUUGGUUUCCACUGUUCUUCUUCCCACCUAAUCGCUCAGCUUGGAAGUUUUCAUCGGAAUGGGAUUCUUCAGCACCGUAUUCGGAAUUCUCGGAUUCGGAAUCGGACUUCCUCUCGGACUCUUGAUCGGAUUCUUACUUUUCGUCUACUCGGAGCCUAAAGAUGUUAAGGAACCAGUUACGAGGCCUCUCUGUGAGUUGGACACAACUUCUUUGCAAAAUCUAAUGCCUGAAAUUCCAUUGUGGGUGAAAUACCCUGAUUAUGAUCGAAUGGACUGGUUAAA